UACGGAGGGUGCGAGCGUUGUCCGGAAUCAUUGGGCGUAAAGGGCGAGUAGGUGGUUGGGUAAGUCUAUGGUGAAAGCGCGGGGCUCAACCCCGCGUCGGCCGUGGAUACUGCUUGACUCGAGCACUGUAGAGGCAGGCGGAAUUCCGGGUGUAGCGGUGGAAUGCGUAGAGAUCCGGAAGAACACCAGGGGCGAAGGCGGCCUGCUGGGCAGUUGCUGACACUGAAUCGCGACAGCGUGGGGAGCAAACAGG
rnacentral:rRNA from 1 species